rnacentral:rRNA from 1 species
GGGCUAAUGGGGGGGGAGGCCUGAUGCAGCAACGCGCGUGAGUGAUGAGGCCUUCGGGUGUAAAGCUCUGUUAUCUGGGACGAACGUAUCUCUGGCCAAUACCCAUAGAUCGUGACGGUCCCGUAGGAGAAACCACGGCUAAAUACGUGCCAGCAGCCGCGGUAAUAAUGCGAUUCGUGGGGUGGGAGUAGUGGUUGCUUCGGCUGCAGAUCUUGGAGGUCUAUCCCGGGGG